rnacentral:rRNA from 1 species
AACGAACGCUGGCGGCAGGCUUAACACAUGCAAGUCGAGCGCCCCGCAAGGGGAGCGGCAGACGGGUGAGUAACGCGUGGGAACAUACCCUUUCCUGCGGAAUAGCUCCGGGAAACUGGAAUUAAUACCGCAUACGCCCUACGGGGGAAAGAUUUAUCGGGGAAGGAUUGGCCCGCGUUGGAUUAGCUAGUUGGUGGGGUAAAGGCCUACCAAGGCGGCGAUCCAUAGCUGGUCUGAGAGGAUGAUCAGCCACAUUUGGACUGAGACACGGCCCAAACUCCUACGGGAGGCAGCAGUGGGGAAUAUUGGACAAUGGGCGCAAGCCUGAUCCAGCCAUGCCGCGUGAGUGAUGAAGGCCUUAGGGUUGUAAAGCUCUUUCACCGGAGAAGAUAAUGACGGUAUCCGGAGAAGAAGCCCCGGCUAACUUCGUGCCAGCCGCCGCCGUAA